CUGGGAGUCACCUCAGUCCCACCCAGAACCUAGGGCUCGCCGUGGCGCAGGUGGCCGCGCUCAAGCCGCGGGGCACGGACCCGCCUGCUCGCCUCCCGCCGCGGACCUCGGGUGCCCUGCGAGACCCAGACCCGCGUCCCAACCCCGCUCCCCAGUCACCUUCUGCGUGCAGGAGCCACGGAUCUGCGCUUUCAGGUCAUAGACGUGGCAGCGGAUCACAGAGCUGCCCACGUCCACCCCCAGCACGAAGCCAGCGCGCCUCGGGUCCCGUGCGCUCUGCUCCGGGCGCCCCUGCUGCAGGGAAUGGGCUCUUCCUGGCACUUGGCAAGAAGGGAGCCUGUGGAAAUUUCAAGAUUCUUGUGGCUCAGGUUCACCAGCCUCUGGCCCACUGGCCUUCCCAGGGGAGGAUCCUGAUCUGCAGGGAGUGGAGAGGUGGUAAUGCCUGCUCCACCCACCUCUCCCCUGCCCCCAGCACUAGUGUAAAGGCAGUGCCUGAAAAUAUUCGUUAUCUUCUUUUUGUAAAAGUAUCAAAGCAAUAUGGAUAAAUGUUUUUGUGAAAUGUUUAA